rnacentral:lncRNA from 1 species
GACAUCCCAUGCAGAGGAUUUCCUGCUUUCAUCAUAGUUGUGGUGAUGCAAUCCAUCCGUUGUCAUAACAGAUAUUUCCUAGAUCCAUGAUGCAGUCAGACCUGUUUCUAAUGAAUCAGACUUAUUGAGACCAGGACACAACAACCCAUUCCCAGGCUACCUGCUGUGCUCUGAUAGACCACCAUCCACCUGCAGACUACAAGUUCCUGUACCUCCCAGAAACAAGUCUCUAAUCCAUUUCUACAUCUCUGAAAGCAAUAUUGAAGAGGAUUAGAAAGAGUGAACGGGUAACAAAGACUGAUUGCACAGAUCAGCAAAUUUGAUUCUCCAUAUAAGGCUGAUAACAUUUAAAG